CCUACGGGGGGCUGCAGUAGGGAAUAUUGGGCAAUGGACGAAAGUCUGACCCAGCCAUGCCGCGUGCAGGAUGACUGCCCUAUGGGUUGUAAACUGCUUUUCUAUGGGAAGAAACACUCAUACGUGUAUGAACUUGACGGUACCAUAGGAAUAAGGAUCGGCUAACUCCGUGCCAGCAGCCGCGGUACUACGGAGGAUCCAAGAGUUGUCCGGAUUCAUUGGGUCGUAGGCGUACUUAGAAGGCAGACUAGAAAGCUGGCGGCUCAACCGUAAAAUUGCCUUUGAAACUGGUAGUCUUGAGUUCGGUCGAGGUGGAUGGAAUGUGUCAUGUAGCGGUGAAAUGCUUAGAUAUGACCCAGAACACCAAUUGCGAAGGCAGUUCACUAGACCGAUACUGACGCUGAGGCACGAAAGCGUGGGGAGCGAACAGGAUUAGAUACCCUGGUAGUC
rnacentral:rRNA from 1 species